rnacentral:rRNA from 1 species
UACGUAGGGGGCAAGCGUUGUCCGGAAUCAUUGGGCGUAAAGCGCGCGUAGGCGGCCCUGUAAGUCCGCUGUGAAAGUCAAAGGCUCAACCUUUGAAAGCCGGUGGAUACUGCAGGGCUAGAGUCCGGAAGAGGCGAGUGGAAUUCCUGGUGUAGCGGUGGAAUGCGCAGAUAUCAGGAGGAACACCAAUAGCGAAGGCAGCUCGCUGGGACGUUACUGACACUGAGGCGCGAAAGCGUGGGGAGCGAACAGG